rnacentral:tRNA from 1 species
GCAGGGGUGGCGGAGCGGUCAAACGCGCUAGCUUGAGGGGCUAGUGGGUCAGUCCCUUCUAGAGUUCAAAUCUCUACCCCUGCA